rnacentral:lncRNA from 1 species
GUAAUAUAAAAAGAGUUGAAAAGACAAAAGGAUUUUUAAUUUUUCAUUUUCUGUUUUUUUAAAUAACAUUUUAAUGUUCUAAUGGUAUUUGUUUUAUAGGAAUGUUUUUACUGUGAGCCAUUUCAGUGGCACCUCUCCCUAAAUAAAAGGGCAGGUUCAUGACAAGGCACCGCUGAGGGAAAACUAAAUAACCUCUUUCAACACAAAGAAAGGGAAUAUGCCAUCCUUACCCAAGCUAUUGAACAGAUGUGCUCUGUCUUUAUGCAUGCAGAGCUCAUUCCCUGCCCAUCAAUGUUGCACAGCAAAACCUUUGGCCUGAUCCAGCUCUACUCGUGCAUGAGGACAGAAAAGCACAGUAGGAGAACCCUUCAGACGAAUGCCACAAUCCACCACCAGAAUGCAAUUAUAUGUGACCAGGGUGACAAAAAGGAGCAUCAUCUUAGAUGAAUUUUUCCAUUCCUUUGAAGUCCAUUCCUUUCAAAAGGGGACUCGUUUUCACAGGUGAACUGGGCACUUUUUUCAUAGAGACAAACAUUUUCAUAAGCUCAACAAUGGCUUUAUCAAGAUCUGUUAUUUAUCUGUGAAGCUUGCAUUGUUGCUAGUAGAUAUUUAAGGUUUACCAUCUGCUUUUACAAGGAUUUCUUUGAGCUUUGAAAUUGCUUUUCAGUGAAGUGGAGUGUUAAAUCUGGACUCAUCCAUGAUGUGAUCAGACUACAGACUGGAACCCUUUUGGCUGACAUUAUUAAAAAGAUAUAUAACCCUAAUCUAUUUUAUUUUCACUUUUCCUUGCCUUCAGUGAUGUAUGAAAUUUGUUUUAGAUUAUUACAAAUCUUCAUCAGCCCCCUUUCCCCUCCCUCUUCAAAGUUGUCAUGCUAGGACGGACUUCUAUUAUUUGAGUAUUUUACCAAGGGGAAGAUCAAGACUUGAAGCUUGAUUUAUUGAAAUGGUUUCCCUGACUUUGGAAUCAGCUGUGCCUUUGCAGUCAUCUGAUGCUUACAGAUGUACAGAGCCAUAAAGAAAUUCAUGAGCGUUUCAUCAUCAAAAAAUAAAACACAAUAUGAAUAUAUCA